rnacentral:rRNA from 1 species
ACGGGCCACGAAACGCCAUGGAUGUUAAUAUAAUAACUACACAGUAAAACGGCGAAGAGUCAUCAAAAAGUUAUAGUUUAUUUCGAACAUAAAACGGAAACCGAGAAAAACAGAGCUAAUACUGCCAUAACCGCAAGGUGUACCAUUAAUAUACCAAAGUGGGUGAAUCUAAUAACUUCGCAAAUCGCAGCCACGCUGCGAUAAAUCAUUCAAGUUUUGCCCUAUCUGCUUUCGAUGGUAGUGUAUUGGACUACCAUGGCUCUCACGGGUAACGGGGAAUUAGGGUUCGAUUCCGGAGAAGGAGCCUGAGAAACGGCUACUACAUCUACGGAAGGCAGCAGGCGCGUAAAUUACCCAAUCCUGACUCAGGGAGGUAGUGACAAGAUAUAACGACGCGACUAAAAAUCGCGAUUAGUAGUGAGGGUAUUCCAAACCGAACCACUAGUACGAUUGGGAGGGCAAGUCUGGUGCCAGCAGCCGCGGUAAUUCCCAGCUCCAAU